UAAGAAAGAACUAAAGUUUUU
rnacentral:piRNA from 1 species